rnacentral:rRNA from 1 species
CCUACGGGCGGCUGCAGUGAGGAAUAUUGGUCAAUGGACGAGAGUCUGAACCAGCCAAGUAGCGUGAAGGAUGACUGCCCUAUGGUUUGUAAACUUCUUUUAUAAAGGAAUAAAACUACGCACUUGUACCUUUUUGCAUUUACUUUAUGAAUAAGGAUCGGCUAACUCCGUGCCAGCAGCCGCGGUAAUACGGAGGAUCCGAGCGUUAUCCGGAUUUAUUGGGCUUAAAGGGAUCGUAGAUGGGUUGUUAAGUCAGAUGUGAAAGCUGUAGGCUCAACCGCAAAAUUGCAAUGGAUACUGGCAGUCUUGAGUACAGUAGAGGUAGGCAGAAUUCGUGGUGUAGCGGUGAAAGGCUUAGAUAUCACGAAGAAUACAGGUGGCGAAGGCAGCUUCCUAAACUGUGACUGACAUUGAUGUUCGAAAGUGUGGGUAUCAAACAGGAUUAGAUACCCCUGUAGUC